AGCCACUAGGAGGAGCUCUAAGCUUCUUGUGUUGAAGUAGAACCUGAAACACAGAGUGAAUGUUUCCUGCUGCCCUCGGCUACUUUGACUCGGUAGUAAGUUAUCCUGCUAGCUAGCUGACUGGUUGUAACUGACUGGUAGUAAGUUAUCCUGCUAGCUAGCUGACUGGUAGUAACUGACUGGUAGUAAGUUAGCCUGCUAGCUAGCUGACUGGAGGGAACAUGAUGCAGACGAAGACACACUAAAGUCCAGCGUGGUUUAAAAGCUUCCAGAAAGUAAAGGAUAAUGUUGUCAGGUGUGAAAUAUGUGGAGCAGAGUUGAGCUACGGUGGCUUCACAUGGACAAAAAGCUGCUGUCUGCUGUGACGGUUACUGAGGGAGACGGACCUGACGCUAAUCACCAAACUAGUACGUCAACAUCUGGAACUAAAGUCUCAGAGAGAAAGCUAACGUUACGUCUCUCAUUGCUAACAUGACUGUAAAGGAAA